rnacentral:rRNA from 1 species
GUCGAGCGAACAGAUAAGGAGCUUGCUCCUUUGACGUUAGCGGCGGACGGGUGAGUAACACGUGGAUAACCUACCUAUAAGACUGGGAUAACUUCGGGAAACCGGAGCUAAUACCGGAUAACAUAUUGAACCGCAUGGUUCAAUAGUGAAAGGCGGCUUUGCUGUCACUUAUAGAUGGAUCCGCGCCGUAUUAGCUAGUUGGUAAGGUAACGGCUUACCAAGGCAACGAUACGUAGCCGACCUGAGAGGGUGAUCGGCCACACUGGAACUGAGACACGGUCCAGACUCCUACGGGAGGCAGCAGUAGGGAAUCUUCCGCAAUGGGCGAAAGCCUGACGGAGCAACGCCGCGUGAGUGAUGAAGGUCUUCGGAUCGUAAAACUCUGUUAUCAGGGAAGAACAAAUGUGUAAGUAACUGUGCACAUCUUGACGGUACCUGAUCAGAAAGCCACGGCUAACUACGUGCCAGCAGCCGCGGUAAUACGUAGGUGGCAAGCGUUAUCCGGAAUUAUUGGGCGUAAAGCGCGCGUAGGCGGUUUUUUAAGUCUGAUGUGAAAGCCCACGGCUCAACCGUGGAGGGUCAUUGGAAACUGGAAAACU